UUCGAUUAAGCCAUGCGAGUUGAGAGGGUUUAGACCCUCAGCGGACUGCUCAGUAACACGUGGAUAACCUGCCCUAAGGUGGAGAAUAACCCCGGGAAACUGGGGAUAAUACUCCAUAGAUUAGAGAUACUGGAAUGUUCUCUAGUCGAAAGCUCCGGCGCCUUAGGAUGGAUCUGCGGUCGAUUAGGUUGUUGUUGGGGUAACGGCCCAACAAACCUAUAAUCGAUACGGGUUGUGGGAGCAAGAGCCCGGAGAUGGAAUCUGAGACACGAUUCCAGGCCCUACGGGGCGCAGCAGGCGCGAAAACUUUACAAUGCAGGAAACUGUGAUAAGGGAACCCCGAGUGCCCGUAUACGCGGGCUGUCCAGGUGUUUAAAAAGCAUCUGAAGAAAGGGCCGGGCAAGACCGGUGCCAGCCGCCGCGGUAAUACCGGCGGCUCGAGUGGUGCCACUAUUAUUGGGCUUAAAGCGUCCGUAGCUGGACUGAUAAGUCUCUUGGGAAAUCCGCCGGCUUAACCGGCGGGCGUCUAAGAGAUACUGUCAGUCUAAAAACCAAAAGAGGUGAGAGGUACUCCAAAAAUAGGAGUGAAAUCCUGUAAUCCCUGGGGGACCACCAAUAACAAAGGCAUCUCACCAGAACGGCUCCGGCAGUGAGGGACGAAAGCUGGGGGAGCGAACCGGAUUAGAUACCCGGGUAGUCCCAGCCGUAAACUAUGCGCGUUAGGUGUACCGGUGACCACGAGUCACUGGGGUGCCGAAGGGAAACCGUGAAACGUGCCGCCUGGGAAGUACGGUCGCAAGGCUGAAAC
rnacentral:rRNA from 1 species